rnacentral:rRNA from 1 species
AUUGAACGCUGGCGGCAGGCUUAACACAUGCAAGUCGAGCGGGGGAGGUUGCUUCGGUAACUGACCUAGCGGCGGACGGGUGAGUAAUGCUUAGGAAUCUGCCUAUUAGUGGGGGACAACAUUCCGAAAGGGAUGCUAAUACCGCAUACGCCCUACGGGGGAAAGCAGGGGAUCUUCGGACCUUGCGCUAAUAGAUGAGCCUAAGUCGGAUUAGCUAGUUGGUGGGGUAAAGGCCUACCAAGGCGACGAUCUGUAGCGGGUCUGAGAGGAUGAUCCGCCACACUGGGACUGAGACACGGCCCAGACUCCUACGGGAGGCAGCAGUGGGGAAUAUUGGACAAUGGGCGGAAGCCUGAUUCAGCCAUGCCGCGUGUGUGAAGAAGGCCUUUUGGUUGUAAAGCACUUUAAGUUGGGAGGAAGGGUUGUGAGCUAAUAUCUUGCAGCUUUGACGUUACCAACAGAAUAAGCACCGGCUGACUCUGUGCCAGCCGCCGCCGAAACAC